rnacentral:rRNA from 1 species
UACGUAGGGAGCAAGCGUUGUCCGGAUUUAUUGGGCGUAAAGAGCUCGUAGGCGGUUUGUCGCGUCUGCUGUGAAAACGCGAGGCUCAACCUCGCGCCUGCAGUGGGUACGGGCAGACUAGAGUGCGGUAGGGGAGAUUGGAAUUCCUGGUGUAGCGGUGGAAUGCGCAGAUAUCAGGAGGAACACCGAUGGCGAAGGCAGAUCUCUGGGCCGUAACUGACGCUGAGGAGCGAAAGCGUGGGGAGCGAACAGG